GACACUUGGAAAUAGCGGGACCCGGAGAUUGGUAGAUCCGGGCGUAAGGGACCGAAUACGAGUAGGGAAGUCCGCGAUGUUCCGAGGCGAGAAAAGGCGAAGGUAGGGUGCCCGUACCGCAAACCGACACAGGUAGAUGAGGAGAGAAUCCUAAGGCCAACGGGAGAAGGGUUGUUAAGGAGCUCGGCAAAAUGACCCCGUAACUUCGGGAUAAGGGGAGCCUGUCUAUGGCAGGCCGCAGAGAAUAGGCCCAAGCGACUGUUUACCAAAAACACAGGUCUAUGCUAAAUCGAAAGAUGACGUAUAUGGGCUGACGCCUGCCCGGUGCUGGAAGGUUAAGAGGAGAUGUCAGGCAACGAAGCAUUGAAUCGAAGCCCCAGUAAACGGCGGCCGUAACAAUAACGGUCCUAAGGUAGCGAAAUUCCUUGUCAGGUAAGUUCUGACCCGCACGAAUGGCGUAACGAUUUGGGCGCUGUCUCAACAGCCCACCCGGCGAAAUUGUUGUACUGGUGAAGAAGCCAGUUACCCGCAACUAGACGGAAAGACCCCAUGGAGCUUUACUGCAGCUUAAUACUGGAAUUCGGUAAUUCAUGUACAGGAUAGGUGGGAGACUGGGAACUAACGCCGUCAGGCGCUAGGGAGUCGCCCUUGGGAUACCACUCUUGAAUUGCUGGGUUUCUAACCUGCGGCCGUGAGUCCGGUCGGGGGACACUGUUAGGCAGACAGUUAGACUGGGGCGGUCGCCUCCUAAAAGGUAACGGAGGCGCUCAAAGGUUGGCUCAGCACGGACGGAAGUCGUGCAAUGAGUGUAAACGUAUAAGCCAGCCUAACUGCGAGAGUGACGGCUCGAGCAGUAACGAAAGUUGGAGUUAGUGAUCCGGUGGUAUGUGAGUGGAAAUGCCAUCGCUCAACGGAUAAAAGCUACCCUGGGGAUAACAGGCUGAUCUCCCCCAAGCGUCCACAGCGACGGGGAGGUUUGGCACCUCGAUGUCGGCUCGUCACAUCCUGGGGCUGUACUCGGUCCCAAGGGUUCGGCUGUUCGCCGAUUAAAGUGGCACGCGAGCUGGGUUCAGAACGUCGUGAGACAGUUCGGUCCCUAUCUGUUGCGGGCGUAAGAGAUUUGAAGGGGGCUGUCCUUAGUACGAGAGGACCGGGAUGGACGCACCUCUGGUGCACCUGUUGUCGUGCCAACGGCAUAGCAGGGUAGCUACGUGCGGACGAGAUAAACGCUGAAAGCAUCUAAGCGUGAAACUUUCCCUAAGAUAAGAUCUCUCAUCCUUUAUGGAGUAAGGCACGAUGUAGACUAUGUCGUAGAUAGGCCGGAGGUGGAAGUGCAGUAAUGUAUGGAGCUGACCGGUACUAAUAAGCCGAGGGCUUGAGC
rnacentral:rRNA from 1 species